rnacentral:tRNA from 1 species
GUUAUUUUGGCAGAUUAGUGUGAUAGAUUUAGAAUCUAUAUAUGUAUAUAUUAUACAAGUAAUA